UACGGGGGGGGCAAGCGUUGUUCGGAAUUACUGGGCGUAAAGGGCUCGUAGGUGGCCAACUAAGUCGGACGUGAAAUCCCUCGGCUUAACCGGGGAACUGCGUCCGAUACUGGUUGGCUUGAGUUUGGGAGAGGGAUGCGGAAUUCCAGGUGUAGCGGUGAAAUGCGUAGAUAUCUGGAGGAACACCGGUGGCGAAGGCGGGUCUCUGGACAGUUCCUGACGCUGAGGCACGAAGGUCAGGGGAGCAAACGGG
rnacentral:rRNA from 1 species